rnacentral:rRNA from 1 species
GUGUCAGCCGCCGCGGUAAGACGAACCGUGCGAACGUUGUUCGGAAUCACUGGGCUUAAAGGGCGCGUAGGCGGGCUGUCAAGUCCGGGGUGAAAUCCUCCCGCUCAACGGGAGAACGGCCUCGGAUACUGACGAUCUCGAGGGGGAUAGGGGCACGCGGAACUGUGGGUGGAGCGGUGAAAUGCGUUGAUAUCCAUAGGAACUCCGGUGGCGAAGGCGGCGUGCUGGAUCCCUUCUGACGCUGAGGCGCGAAAGCCAGGGGAGCAAACGGGAUUAGAUACCCCCGUAGUCC